rnacentral:rRNA from 1 species
CCCUUACGGCCAGGGCUACACACGUGCUACAAUGGUCGGUACAAAGGGUUGCCAAGCCGCGAGGUGGAGCUAAUCCCAUAAAAACCGAUCGUAGUCCGGAUCGCAGUCUGCAACUCGACUGCGUGAAGUCGGAAUCGCUAGUAAUCGUGAAUCAGAAUGUCACCGGUGAAUACGUUCCCGGGCCUU